AAAUUGAAGAGUUUGAUCAUGGCUCAGAUUGAACGCUGGCGGCAGGCCUAACACAUGCAAGUCGAACGGUAACAGGAAGCAGCUUGCUGCUUUGCUGACGAGUGGCGGACGGGUGAGUAAUGUCUGGGAAACUGCCUGAUGGAGGGGGAUAACUACUGGAAACGGUGGCUAAUACCGCAUAACGUCGCAAGACCAAAGAGGGGGACCUUCGGGCCUCUUGCCAUCAGAUGUGCCCAGAUGGGAUUAGCUUGUUGGUGAGGUAACGGCUCACCAAGGCGACGAUCCCUAGCUGGUCUGAGAGGAUGACUAGCCACACUGGAACUGAGACACGGUCCAGACUCCUACGGGAGGCAGCAGUGGGGAAUAUUGCACAAUGGGCGCAAGCCUGAUGCAGCCAUGCCGCGUGUAUGAAG
rnacentral:rRNA from 1 species